rnacentral:tRNA from 1 species
AGUCUUAUAUUCAUAAACUUGAUUUUAAAUUGCAAAUUUAAAGGUGAAUAUUUUUAUUCUAAGGCUU